AAACACUCUGGAAGAGAUGAAAGGCGGAGCUUUUGGUUACUUACAGCUCCAAAAGAGAGCCAGCUGCCAGGCAGGGCCACACAGGGGACUCACCCAGGGACAACAGACCAGCACGCUGGGACUAUCUGGGCAGCUCGUACACGGCAAGCGGGGUGGCUUAGGUGGGCUUCAUGGGAUCCCUGGGAAUUGAUUCAUUGACACAAUAUUGCAGGCUCAGGAGGCUGGGAGCCAUCCCGGGUUGGUCUGGAACUUGACACCAGGCAGUUAGGGCAGGGGCAUGGUGGUCUGGAGAGAUGGUCAUAGUGGCAGCCCCCUAAGGGAAGGGGUUGGAAUGUGGACUUAACUGCUCAGGAAAGUAAAUUAACUGGCAUCUAACCAGGGCCUCAAAACUGGUUCAAGACAGUAUAUAUAUAUAAUUUUAUUACAACUGGUUCUGGUGGCAGAGGCCUCUUCCAGGCCUGAGGAAGCAGCACCUCAGCACCCUGGACCUGCCCACCCCUGCACACCAGAGAAGGACCCCAGGUCGAGGCCAGUCCUGGUGAUGCCAGUCUCCCUGACGGUUGUUAGCUCAGGCGUGGGCAUGCUACACAGCCCCUGCCAAUGAUAGAGUUGAUCUGCUCGGUUUCCACUGGCACAUUUACUCUAUCUGCAUCAAGCACCUGCUCUUUUCUAGGCACUAUUGUGUGAACAGGGAAUUCACACGGGAUAGAACAACAUCCCUUCCUCAGGGAGCUUCUGCCCUAGGGAGAGAGCUCUGCUGUUGGUCAGGGUGUUUUCAUUGACUCCCACUCACCCUGCUGGUGAAGGAGGGAUUCUCAUCCUAGGGUUAUGGGGAUGGCCCAACACACAACGUUGACACACUGGACAGAAGACACAGACAAAAGUUUGCGAGGCUUAUAUGCCCACAGCCUGGGAGAGGAGGAUGCAGGGCCCAUGGGAGCUGCGGUGGGAGCAGAAGGACCUGGCACGGGCUGGGGGAGGCGGACUUUGCAGUACUAAGAGGAUGCGGUGGCCCUAGUUUCUAUCUGAUGAUGUGAUUGGCUUGUUUGAAUAAUUCUGUGGGCUGAUAGGGAAUGGAAAUGCAGGGACAAGCAGGAACUGUUACCGGCCCCCUUGAGAAGGAGGGUACAGGUGUGCAGAGGGGAACUUGUGGUUAGGCCAUUCGAGGCCCUCCCGGUUUCACCAGAUGUCAAAGCAGUGCAUAAUGUCAUUAAUAAUAUUAGUUUUAGGCUUUACACCACAGAGGGCUGCUUCUGGGAUGUGGCUUUUUUAUGUCCUUAGGCCUUAUUGUGUAAAGAUAUGAUGCUUGGAGCUGCCACAGCCUCUGUGAGAAGAUGAGUGAAAAGCCACAGAAAUAACAGAGAGGCUGACUCGGGCCCUGACUAGGGUGGAGCUGCUGAAUUACUCAGUCUGGGGGUGCCGUGCCUCCAGCCUUUCCAUUAUGUGGGAUGUGGCACUCAGUUCCUCAUUGUUUAGGCCUCUCUGGGUUGGGAUUCUAUUCCUGCCACUCAUAAGUAGCCUGGUCCUGUGCUCAUACUGUGUGAUCCUGUGUGUAUCAGUGGCCCCAGCUCCACGGUGCUGAGGAGCACAGAGCAGAUGUGGGUUUCUUCUGUGUUUGUGCAUUUCUCUGUGCAGAUGUGAUGAUAUCUCAUGUGCAUUCUUUUUUUUUUUUUGGAGACAGGGUCUUGCUCUGUUGUUCAGGCUGGAGUGCAGUAGCACAAUCAUGGCUCACUGCAAUCUCGAACUCCUGGGUCCAAGUGAUUUUUCCUUCUCAGCCUCACAAAUAGCUAAAACUACAGGUGCAUGCCAUCAUGGCUGGAUAAUUUUAUUUUUAUUUUUUCGAAGAGACAGAGUCUCAUUAUGUUGCCCACGCUGGUCUUGAACUCCUGGCCUCAAGCGAUCCUCUCACCUCCGCCUCCCAAAGUGUUGCAAUUACAGGCAUGAGCCACUGUGCCUGGCCUGAUGUGCAUUCUAUUAAAAAAAUGUAACAAGCCCCAAUGUCUCAUUGGAGGGUAACAGGAGGAGGAGUCUAUGGAGGGGCUGGCCAGUCCUGGAGCCAGAGUGUGGGCCUCUCAGGAGGGAUGUCCCACCUGGUCUGCAGACUGGAGACCAGCAGGGCUGAGGUGAGUCCUGGGCCACUCUGGCAGCAGGGGAGGUCAGAGUCAGUGACCCACACUGGGGAGACAGAUACGAGGAAGCUUUAGAAGAGGGGAGCGUCCCCUCUGUUGUUGUCUCUGGUGACCUGAAGACCCAUCUAAGUGCUGAUUGAUGACCAAGAGAACAAGAUGCUGGUACCCGUGACCUAGGCCACCAUGAGCCACUGCACCUGAAGGGCAACCACCUGCAGAAUCUCCACGGAGGGGCUGGGGAAAUGCUUUGCAUGAUCCCUCAAAGCUCCCUUUCAUCGAGGGAGGAAAGGCUGAGAGAACAGGAACUGCCCUGGAAGAGAGCCCUCCUCCCAGCCCCAGAAGAAACCUCAGCUGUGUUCUUGUGCUGUGCGUCCAAGAGAAAGAUGAUCAGAGCCCAGCGGCUGCAUGCCUAAGCUUCCAUGCUCUAGUGGCCACAUUAGAAAAAGUGAAAUGGAACAGGUUCCUAAAUUCUCCUCAUUCUGCUCCUUCACAUUUAAAUCGACCCCCAGACAGGAUCAGGACCUCCUGGCCUUCUUGGAGAUGUGGGCUCUAUGCAGGGAUGACAGAAGCCAACGUCUGGAGCCCUCCCCCAACACUGCAGAGCUGGAGCCUGCUCAGAGCUCACAAGUCAUCAAGGAAAAUCCCCUGGGCCCUCAGAGAUAUGACCACUGGACCUACAGGGUUCUGACUAGGGCCAACCCCUUUGCAGAAGUCAGCAAUCCCUGGGAACCUGUGGGGGUGUCGCGUAAUACCUGCCACAUCAACUGACAAGUAGACAUCCCAAUGGCCAUGGAAAAAAUGUCUGUGCCAGGGCUUAGAUCCUCUGAGGCUCUAUAACACUGCUAUUAAAAUAGUCACUGAGCCUAAUAAAAAGUAUAAUCAUCUCCAUUUAC